AACGUAGGGGGCAAGCGUUGCCCGGAUUCACUGGGCGUAAAGCGGGUGUAGGCGGUUCUUUAAGUCAGAUGUGAAAUCCUGCGGCUCAACCGCGGAACUGCAUCUGAUACUGGGGAACUUGAGGACGGUAGAGGUCGGUGGAAUCCCCGGUGUACCGGUGAAAUGGGCAGAUAUCGGGGGGAACACCAGUGGCGAAGGCGGCCGACUGGGCCGAUCCUGACGCUGAGACCCGAAAGCCAGGGUAGCGAACCGG
rnacentral:rRNA from 1 species